rnacentral:rRNA from 1 species
UACAGAGGGUGCAAGCGUUAAUCGGAAUUACUGGGCGUAAAGCGUGCGUAGACGGUUAUGUAAGUUAGGUGUGAAAGCCCCGGGCUCAACCUGGGAAUUGCAUUUAAGACUGCAUAGCUAGGGUGCGGAAGAGGGAAGCGGAAUUUCCGGUGUAGCGGUGAAAUGCGUAGAUAUCUGAAGGAACAUCAGUGGCGAAAGCGACUUCCUGGACCAAUACUGACGCUCAUGUGCGAAAGCGUGGGGAGCAAACAGG